rnacentral:rRNA from 1 species
UACGGGGGGGGGCAAGCGUUGUUCGGAAUUACUGGGCGUAAAGGGCUCGUAGGCGGCCAACUAAGUCAGACGUGAAAUCCCUCGGCUUAACCGGGGAACUGCAUCUGAUACUGGAUGGCUUGAGUCGGGAGAGGGAUGCGGAAUUCCAGGUGUAGCGGUGAAAUGCGUAGAGAUGUGGAGGAAUACCAAUGGCGAAGGCAGCCCCCUGGGGUUA